rnacentral:rRNA from 1 species
UACGUAGGUGGCAAGCGUUGUCCGGAUUUACUGGGCGUAAAGAGCGCGCAGGCGGUCGUUCAAGUCGCGUGUGAAAGCCCCCGGCUCAACUGGGGAGGGUCACGCGAUACUGAUCGACUCGAAGGCAGGAGAGGGAAGUGGAAUUCCCGGUGUAGUGGUGAAAUGCGUAGAUAUCAGGAGGAACACCGGUGGCGAAGGCGGCUUUCUGGACAGUAACUGACGCUGAGGCGCGAAAGCUAGGGGAGCAAACAGG